ensembl:misc_RNA 7SK 7SK RNA
GGAUGUGAGGGGGGUCUGGCUGUGACAUCUGUCACCCACUGAUCACCAGGGUUGAUUCAGCUGGUCUGGCUGGCGAGGUGGGUGCCCCCUUCUGCCCUCACCAUUCCAUGUGCAUCCCUUCCAAAGCUGCAUGCUCAGUCAAAGAGGACCACCUUCACCGAACAGAGGAGGACUGGUCUUCGCUUAAGGGUAUACGAGUAGCUGCACUGCCCUGAUAGAACCUCCAAACAAGCUCUCAAGAAUAAUAGGUAUAGAAGAAGGUAAAGAAAUCCACCUCAAAGGAGCAGAAAACAAAUUCAACAAAAUCAUAGAAGAAAACUUU